GUCCCAUCUUCCGGGUGGUAUUAAUUAUCACUGGGCAAAAUGAGGAAGAGAAGACAGUAGUGAGUGGAGUGGAGUUAGUGGGUUAAGAGGACAUCGGAAGAUAAUCCUGGUCAACCCUCAAUACCACGGAGGUAUCGAGGUGAGGAACAGCGCAAGAAGUGUUAAGCCAGAUCCGGAAACCUAUUUCCUACGGAGGAAAAUCGGCGGAGGCAAAAAACUUCGGUCUGAUCGGAAAAGUCUUCGGAGAGAGUCUUCUGUGUCUACACGGUUACCCUCCACAACGAGAAAGUAGUCACCUGAGGAUCCGGGAAUUGUGCCACCCGACGUAAUCAGCGUGCGCAUCACCACUCAAUUGGAAUCUGCAAGAGCCCACCCUGGCACAAAGAAUCCCAGCAUCUUGCUAGUCCCUCAGAAUUUGCGGGAGCCCCAAUACGGAGAGGGAGAAAGAACGGCCACCGGACUCAAAUAAGCGAACAAACCUUAAGUAGAACUCUGUGUUGUAUAAUUGUUUAAAUUUCGGUAGAAUAUAACCUAUUUUAUAUGGGCUUUAACUGAGGGUCUCUUCGGGAAAUCAAAGGGGGUUUGUGAUUAAUUCUGCUGAGGAAUAAAGUGUUUAAUUGUGGAAAUUGAA